rnacentral:rRNA from 1 species
GAUGAACGCUGGCGGCGUGCCUAAUACAUGCAAGUCGAGCGAACAGGCGAGGAGCUUGCUCCUCUGACGUUAGCGGCGGACGGGUGAGUAACACGUGGAUAACCUACCUAUAAGACUGGGAUAACUUCGGGAAACCGGAGCUAAUACCGGAUAAUAUAUUGAACCGCAUGGUUCAAUAGUGAAAGACGGUUUUGCUGUCACUUAUAGAUGGAUCCGCGCCGCAUUAGCUAGUUGGUAAGGUAACGGCUUACCAAGGCAACGAUGCGUAGCCGACCUGAGAGGGUGAUCGGCCACACUGGAACUGAGACACGGUCCAGACUCCUACGGGAGGCAGCAGUAGGGAAUCUUCCGCAAUGGGCGAAAGCCUGACGGAGCAACGCCGCGUGAAUGAUGAAGGUCUUCGGAUCGUAAAACUCUGUUAUUAGGGAAGAACAAAUGUGUAAGUAACUAUGCACGUCUUGACGGGACCUAAUCAGAAAGCCACGGCGAACUACGU